ACGGGGAUAACAGUUGGAAACGAUUGCUAAUACCGGAUACUAUAUAAGAUGAUACGUUAUCUUAUAUUAAAAGGAAGCCUCUAAAGCUUCGCUAAAAGAUGAGCCUGCGGCGUAUUAGCUAGUUGGUGGGGUAAAGGCCUACCAAGGCAACGAUGCGUAGCCGACCUGAGAGGGUGAACGGCCACAUUGGGACUGAGACACGGCCCAAACUCCUACGGGAGACAGCAGUUAGGAAUAUUCGUCAAUGGGGGAAACCCUGAACGAGCAAUGCCGCGUGAAGGAUGACGGUCCUCUGGACUGUAAACUUCUGUUGUUAGGGAAGAACGGUAAGUAUAGGAAAUGAUACUUAAGUGACGGUACCUUUCAAGAAAGCAUCGGCUAACUACGUGCCAGCAGCGGC
rnacentral:rRNA from 1 species